GGUGUUUCCCCAGUAGUGAGGACUGAGAAGUAUGGGGAUGUUCCUGUUCUCUGACUGAAGCGCUCGGAGGUGCCGCAGGCGCGAAAGCCCGGGCAGCGACRCUGCGUCCGGCCCUGCUCCCGCCGGCUCGGGCUGUGCCGGAUGCCCCGGGUGGAUCCAGCCCUGGGGUAKAUCUGUCUGCCUCGGUUUCCAGUCCUAAACGAGGUAAGCCUCAUUCGUAUUCGCUCCUUAUUCCUGAAUCCUCCCU
rnacentral:lncRNA from 1 species